UAUUGCGCAAUGGACGCGAGUCUGACGCAGCCACGCCGCGUGGAGGAAGACGGCCCUAUGGGUUGUAAACUCCUUUUAUCGGAGAAGAAAGCGGGGAUUCGUCCCUGUAUAGACGGUAACCGAUGAAUAAGCACCGGCUAACUCCGUGCCAGCAGCCGCGGUAAUACGGAGGGUGCAAGCGUUGUCCGGAAUCAUUGGGUGUAAAGGGUGCGCAGGCGGAUGGGUAAGUCUGGGGUGAAAUCUUGCCGCUUAACGGCAAAACUGCCUUGGAUACUGCUCAUCUUGAGUGUGAGAGAGGCCGGUGGAAUUCGUGGUGUAGCGGUGAAAUGCUUAGAUAUCACGAAGAACACCAGUGGUGCAGACGGCCGGCUGGCUCACAACUGACGCUCAGGCACGAGAGCGUGGGGAGCAAACAG
rnacentral:rRNA from 1 species